rnacentral:rRNA from 1 species
ACGGGAGGCAGCAGUGGGGAAUAUUGCACAAUGGGCGAAAGCCUGAUGCAGCGACGCCGCGUGAGUGAAGAAGUAUUUCGGUAUGUAAAGCUCUAUCAGCAGGGAAGAAAAUGACGGUACCUGACUAAGAAGCCCCGGCUAACUACGUGCCAGCAGCCGCGGUAAUACGUAGGGGGCAAGCGUUAUCCGGAUUUACUGGGUGUAAAGGGAGCGCAGACGGCAAGGCAAGUCUGAAGUGAAAGCUCGGGGCUCAACCCCGGAACUGCUUAGGAAACUGUUUAGCUAGAGUGCAGGAGAGGUAAGUGGAAUUCCUAGUGUAGCAGUGAAAUGCUUAGAUAUUAGGAGGAACACCAGUGGCGAAGGCGGCUUACUGGACUGUAACUGACGUUGAGGCUCGAAAGCGUGGGGAGCAAACAGGAUUAGAUACCCUGGUA